rnacentral:rRNA from 1 species
UACGUAGGGUGCGAGCGUUAAUCGGAAUUACUGGGCGUAAAGCGUGCGCAGGCGGUUUGCUAAGACCGAUGUGAAAUCCCCGGGCUUAACCUGGGAACUGCAUUGGUGACUGGCAAGCUAGAGUGUGGCAGAGGGGGGUAGAAUUCCACGUGUAGCAGUGAAAUGCGUAGAGAUGUGGAGGAAUACCGAUGGCGAAGGCAGCCCCCUGGGCCAACACUGACGCUCAUGCACGAAAGCGUGGGUAGCAAACAGG